rnacentral:rRNA from 1 species
AGUGAACGCUGGCAGUAGGCCUAACACAUGCAAGUCGAACGGCAGCACAGGAGAGCUUGCUCUCUGGGUGGCGAGUGGCGGACGGGUGAGGAAUACAUCGGAAUCUACUUUUUCGUGGGGGAUAACGUAGGGAAACUUACGCUAAUACCGCAUACGACCUACGGGUGAAAGCAGGGGAUCUUCGGACCUUGCGCGAUUGAAUGAGCCGAUGUCGGAUUAGCUAGUUGGCGGGGUAAAGGCCCACCAAGGCGACGAUCCGUAGCUGGUCUGAGAGGAUGAUCAGCCACACUGGAACUGAGACACGGUCCAGACUCCUACGGGAGGCAGCAGUGGGGAAUAUUGGACAAUGGGCGCAAGCCUGAUCCAGCCAUACCGCGUGGGUGAAGAAGGCCUUCGGGUUGUAAAGCCCUUUUGUUGGGAAAGAAAUCCAGCUGGUUAAUACCCGGUCGGGAUGACGGUACCCAAAGAAUAAGCACCGGCUAACUUCGUGCCAGCCGCCGCAGUAA